rnacentral:rRNA from 1 species
GUUCCAGCCGCCGCGGUAAUACCGGCAGCUCGAGUGAUGACCACUCUUAUUGGGCCUAAAGCGUCCGUAGCUGGCCGCGCAAGUCCGUCGGGAAAUCCACCUGCCCAACAGGUGGGCGUCCGGCGGAAACUGUGUGGCUUGGAACCGGAAGGCUCAGAGGGUACGUCCGGGGUAGGAGUGAAAUCCCGUAAUCCCGGACGGACCACCGAUGGCGAAAGCACUCUGAGAAGACGGAUCCGACAGUGAGGGACGAAAGCCAGGGUCUCCAACCGGAUUAGAAACCCCAGUAGUCC